AUACUUACCUUGCUUGGACAUUGGCGAUCAUGAAGGCCGGGUGUCUAGAGGAACUUCGUGCAUUGCACAGCGCGCAGAAGCUCUUCUAUUGAUCUCCUACGGGGGCUCAACAAGUGCAAUUAUUUGAUGGACUUCUCAUCGAUACUUCGGUAUCGAUAUC
rnacentral:snRNA from 22 species